GAUCAUGGCUCAGGAUGAACGCUAGCUACAGGCUUAACACAUGCAAGUCGAGGGGAAACGACAUUGAAAGCUUGCUUUUGAUGGGCGUCGACCGGCGCACGGGUGAGUAACGCGUAUCCAACCUGCCCACCACUUGGGGAUAACCUUGCGAAAGUAAGACUAAUACCCAAUGACGUCUCUAGAAGACAUCUGAAAGAGAUUAAAGAUUUAUCGGUGAUGGAUGGGGAUGCGUCUGAUUAGCUUGUUGCGGGGUAACGGCCCACCAAGGCGACGAUCAGUAGGGGUUCUGAGAGGAAGGUCCCCCACAUUGGAACUGAGACACGGUCCAAACUCCUACGGGAGGCAGCAGUGAGGAAUAUUGGUCAAUGGGCGAGAGCCUGAACCAGCCAAGUAGCGUGCAGGAUGACGGCCCUAUGGGUUGUAAACUGCUUUAUAAGGGAAUAAAGUGAGCCUCGUGAGGCUUUUGCAUGUACCUUACGAAUAAGGACCGGCUAAUUCCGUG
rnacentral:rRNA from 1 species